GAUGAACGCUGGCGGCGUGCCUAAUACAUGCAAGUAGAACGCUGAAGGAAGGAGCUUGCUCUUUCCGGAUGAGUUGCGAACGGAUGAGUAACGCGUAGGUAACCUGCCUGGUAGCGGGGGAUAACUAUUGGAAACGAUAGCUAAUACCGCAUAACAGUAGAUGUUGCAUGAUAUCUACUUAAAAGGUGCAAUUGCACCACUACCAGAUGGACCUGCGUUGUAUUAGCUAGUUGGUGAGGUAACGGCUCACCAAGGCGACGAUACAUAGCCGACCUGAGAGGGUGAUCGGCCACACUGGGACUGAGACACGGCCCAGACUCCUACGGGAGGCAGCAGUAGGGAAUCUUCGGCAAUGGACGGAAGUCUGACCGAGCAACGCCGCGUGAGUGAAGAAGGUUUUCGGAUCGUAAAGCUCUGUUGUAAGAGAAGAACGAGUGUGAGAGUGGAAAGUUCACACUGUGACGGUAUCUUACCAGAAAGGGACGGCUAACUACGUG
rnacentral:rRNA from 1 species